rnacentral:rRNA from 1 species
GUGGAUUAGAUACCCCAGUAGUCCUGGCAGUAAACGGUGCACGUUUGGUGUGGGAGGAUUCGACCCCUUCUGCGCCGGAGCCAACGCGUUAAACGUGCCGCCUGGGGAGUACGGUCGCAAGAUUAAAACUCAAAGAAAUUGACGGGGGCCCGCACAAGCGGUGGAGUAUGUGGCUCAAUUCGAUGCAACGCGAAGAACCUUACCAGGCCUUGACAUGCAUCUCUAAGUUGGUGAAAGCCAGCGAGUGUCGAAAGACACAAUUUGCACAGGUGCUGCACGGCCGUCGACAGCU